AAAGACUGCCUAUGGUUAUGACUUGAAUAAAAAGGCACUUAACUAAUACUCAGAGACCAUUAUUUCUCAACAAGUUUUUGGGCUUAGAGGGAGUUCUAGCAAAUUAUGAGUCAAAUUAAAGGGUUAGGGGAUGAGAGAGGAGAAAUAGCUGUUAACCUGCAAAGCCCAACACAGUUCUGUUAUGAAUAGAGGCUAGUUUCAGCAACAAGAAUUUUUGUUUUGUCUGUAGUCAAGAGUCUGUGAAAGGGAAACAGCAAUUGAAAGCUUUAAUGCAACUGAGGCCAUAAUUUUUCUAUGUUCUUUUAUGCUUCUGUCAGGCUCUAUCAAAAUAUUCUUUUAAUCCCUGGAUAUGUUUUGCUUUGGCUUUUUUAAAAAUUCUGUAAUACCAAAAUAACUAAACUUCUUAACCUCUAUUUUCUAAGGCCUGAGAGACUGAACAUCCCCCUCCCAAAGGGGAAGCCACUAAAAAGAAAUUAAAUCUUGAGUGAGGGAGAACAGCAGCAGUUCAGAGCAUGGUACAACAGGAGUCAGCAUCCCCCAUCCUGAAGUUCUAUGAAGUUAUCAUGGCUGACAGAUCUACAACGUAAUGCAAAAGAAGAAACCAUAGCAUCAUGCCUGAAAAACUGACAUCUCUGCUUGGAUACUUUGCAGACACCUUCUGACAUGAACCUGCUCUCUGCUCGUGGCACACUCUGGUCUGUAUUAGAGAGAAACACAACAGGAACUUUUAGUCACUCUGGAAAAACAGCCAAACUUAACGGUAGUAUUUUUCCAGAAUCUCUGCCAGGGCUGAACAAACAAGUAGUCCAGGGUUAACAAGCAAGCGCUUCCAGAGAACACAAAAAUCACCCUGUAGCAAUUUUGUAGGUGCUUAUCAUGCAAAAACUCUUUAUGUUCAUCCUUGAGGAGACCAAAGCACCCCUCCCCCAAGCUGGCUAAACUACAUGUGCUCAAUAUGACUUUUAUACUGUGUUUAUGUAUAUGUUUAUGGAUAUGGAUAUUGUUUAUGCAUUUUGCUUUGUAAAUUAAUUUGAUAUGUUUUUUAUUGUACCUUGUGUAUUCUAUUGUAAACUGCUUUGAGAUCUUUUAGAUAGUAAGCGGUCUAUAAAUGGAAAUAAUAAUAAUGUGUCAAUUGUGUGAAUGGCCAAUUCAGAGGCUGCCUUCUGCAUGAAAACUCCAAAAUCCAGUGU